rnacentral:misc_RNA from 1 species
GAUGAAGAACGUAGCGAAAUGCGAUAAGUAGUGUGAAUUGCAGAAUUCAGUGAAUCAUCGAAUCUUUGAACGCACAUUGCGCCCCUUGGUAUUCCAUGGGGCAUGCCUGUUCGAGCGUCAUUUGUACCUUCAAGCUUUGCUUGGUGUUGGGUGUUUGUCCCGAGGGACUCGCCUUAAAGUAAUUGGCAGCCAGUGUUUGGUUUUGAAGCGCAGCACAAGUCGCGAUUCAAGGCUACACGCCCGCUUCCACAAGCCCUUUUUCACUUUUGACCUCGGAUCAGGUAGGGAUACCCGCUGAACUUAAGCAUAUCAAUAAGCGGAGGA